UACGUAGGUAGCAAGCGUUAUUCGGAUUUACUGGGCGUAAAGGGUCCGCAGGGGGUCUGCCAAGUCCGGCGUGAAAGCCCACGGCUCAACUGUGGAACGGCGCUGGAAACUGGCGGGCUGGAGUGCAUGAGGGGUGAGCGGAAUUCCUGGUGUAGCGGUGGAAUGCGCAGAUAUCAGGAGGAACACCGAUGGCGAAGGCGGCUCACUGGCGUGCAACUGACCCUCAGGGACGAAAGCGUGGGGAGCAAACAGG
rnacentral:rRNA from 1 species